AGACGGAUUCUGCACGUAGCCGCGCCGAACCCCACGGCGCCUGAGCAGGGCGGUCCCGGGGCGGCUACAGCCCCGCCUUGCGCGCGAUCCCGCCCCCGCCGGCGCGGCCCCUGUAAAGCGCGGCCCCUGUAAAGCGCGGCCCCUGUAAAGCGCGGCCCCUGUAAAGCGCGGCCCCUGUAAAGCGCGGCCCCUGUAAAGCGCGGCCCCUGUAAAGCGCGGCCCCUGUAAAGCGCGGCCUGAUUGGCCCUUUGAACCGGGCGUGGGAUUGGCCGUCGCCUGCCCACCCCGCGGCUGCAGCGUUCCCUGGGGCCUAGCCAACCGCGGGCAGGGCUGGGCAAGGCGGGAGGAGCGCGGACCCAAGAUCGGCUACGCUGCGUCUGCUCAGGCUGCGAGUUCCCGGCUCUGGGGACUCACCUUGCGGAGCUUACCCAGGCGGACUCUCCGCAGCCCCUGAUGGGUGUGUGUGUCAGACCGUUUACUAAACACCAGGACUGUUGUAGGCGACUGUAAGAAAUAAGAAUAUUGCAUGGUUACAAUUCUUGAAUGCUUACCUUGUGUCUUGUUCCUUACUCUACAGAAAUUUUCUAAUCCCGUGGCGAACCCCCGUACUUCAACGUAUGACAUUCUGUAAAUCUACAAAACAGAUGGGUCCCUGCCUUUGAGAAGUUUUUACAAUUUAGUGGGUACUGGACACGGACCUAAUUUAAUUCUCACAUGCCUUCCCUUUCUAAUAAGCUGCAUGUUAUGUAUCCCUAUUCUACAGAUGUGGGGAAUCCGAAAUUUUUAGCUUUUACUGGGACACACAGCUAGCAAGCAACUAAAGCGAGAAUUCCAACCUGAGCUCCAAUCCGAACUAUUUUCAUAAAAGGCAGGAUCCCAGGCUGAGGGAGUUCGAGGUUUGGGAGACAGUUUAGCAGUCGCUGAGUCCAAACAUGUUGUUUUCCUAGAAAAGAAAACUGAGAUCCAGGAAAGGGAAGUGAUUUUCCAAAGACACACCUGUGAAAGGUGAGGAGAACAGCCCAGUGAGGCUGAGGCCACACAAUUAACCCCAGUCUUUGCACUACAACUCUACCAGGGAUCCUGGUUUGGCUCAUUUUCUUUCUUCUGCACCAUGAUUGUUCACCUUUUCAUUACCAGCAACAUACCCAAAGACCUAGCUAUAGACUCGUUGGAAUCUGUUACUUAGCAGCUGUGUGAAUCAAGUGUUCAAUAGGAAUAAUAAGAUGUAUUCAUCUUACCUUUUCAGAACAUUAUGAAGAACAAAUGUGGUAAGACAUAUGAAAAUGCUUUGUAAAGUGUUAGAUGCUUAAUACACAGAAGACAUUGCUUCCAGAUCUGUUUCAACGUACCCCAAGAAUGGAAUAAGUGGAAUAUGCUGGUUUCAUGCACUGUGGCAAGGGGGUCUCAUCUUGGCUAGACUUGAAUAAGUGGAUUUGUUGCCUGGCCUCUGUGGAUGGCUCUUUCUCUGGGCUUUUGUGUAUUUGAUUUUUUAUUUGCUCCAGCAGCCGUGUUGAACCAUGAAAGGACCUCAGGAAUGAAACCCACACACAGCAAAGCAACAAAGUGAAAGAAGCGUGGAUUCCUAAUGCAGGAGGCACUGAACCAAUCAAUACCCACUGCCCUCCAGACCUCCACAUGAAAGAAAAAAACUGCUGUCCUGUGUAAGACACUUUUAUUUUGUGUUUCUAUUGUAUGAGGUCAAACCUAAUAACAGAUAUAUUACACUCUAACAGAUACAUUACAUUGUAUAGUAGAAUUCUCAGACAGCAACCUUAUAAGGUGAUAGAUGCAGAAACAGGCCCAAAGAGUAAAAAUAAUUUGUUCAGAGUUUUCCAGCCAAGUGGCGAAGGUGAGAUUCUUACCUGGGUUUGUCUGAAACCAAUUUUCACUAUCUUUUUCAGUUAUGAUACACUGCCUAUUACGAAUGAAUGAAUCCUUUUUUUUUUUUCCAUUUACUUCCAUUUGAUUCAUUUAUUCCAGGGAGUGACACUUUUUCUGUAAAGGACCGAUAGUAAAUAUUUUAGACUUUGUGAGCAAUACAGUCUCUGUUGCAACUACUCAACUUUGUAAUGUAAAAGCAGCCAUAGACAAUAGUAAAUGAGUAGGUAUGACUAUGUUUCAAUAAAACUUUACUUACACAAGCAGGCAAUGGACAAUGUGGCCCAUGAGCCUUAGUUUGCCAACCCCUAAUGAAAUGGGAAAAGUUCCCUUGUCCCCUUCACAGGGCGUGCGAUGUGGGUGUGACUCACUUCUUCAGUCCCCACUGCACAAACCUCUAGGGAAGCAUACAGACAGGUAGGCUGUGGAGAUCUGACCCCACGGCAGUGUCUAGGGGUGACUGUUUACAGCCAAAGCCCCAGUGGGCACAUGUAGCAGGGUGCUCUUUUAGUUUAGCCGUCCGUGGGUGGCUUGUGUUAGCCAGCUCAAUUAAACCCCUGCCUUAUUGCAAGGACAGAGGGCUUUCUGUAUCUCGGGGUUCUUGCCUUGGUGUAGCAGAAGAAUUGGAUCACACGUGGGCUUGGAGAAUGAUUGCAAGGUUUUAUGGAGUGAAAGUAGCUCUCAGCAGGUGGAGGAGCCAAAAGGGAGAUGGUUUUCCCCUGGUGUCGGGCCGCUUGGCGGCCCAGGCUCUCCUCCCACUGCCCCAGCCAAACUCCAUGUCAUUCUGCCAGUUGGUGGCCUGCUGGCGUAAGUGUGUUCUCUCAACGUCCAGCUGCCCGCGUGUUCCUCCGCUGAUGUGCUCCUCUCGACGUCCAGCCGCCUGUUUGUCUACCUGCUAGGGUCUCAUGGUUUUUAUAGCACAGGAUGGGGGUGUGGCAGGCCAGGGUUGUCUUGGGAAAUGCAAUAUUUGGGCAGGAAAACAAAAUUAUGCCUGUCCUCACCUAGGUCCUUGGGCACACAUACGCAUGUCCCUGCCCCCUUCCCUAUCAUUUAAAGGGACACACCCUUCACUUCCCAGCACUUCUGUAUCACUAAUUUAUUGUAUUCUGAUGUUCCAUCACAAAAGUGCAUAGAGGACAUAUUAUAGAAGGUCCCCCACCUUCUGUGACAUUGUGAAAUUGCAAGCAUGCUCAUACUGCUGUCCAACAUAAGGGCUAAUGACAGUGUGGUUCAGAAGAUCCCUAAACUGACGGCCAUGAGUUCAUAUCUGCCAUUGCUACGAUUUGAAUGUGUCCCCAAGAAAGCAUGUAUUGGAAACUUAAUCCCCAAUGCAACAGUGUUGGGAGGUGAGGCCUAAUGAGAGGUGGUUAGGCCAUGCAGGCUUCACCCUCAUGAAUGGAUUAAUACCAUUGUCACAGGAAUUAGUUCAUUAUAAAAGGGCAAGUUUGAUUUCCCAACCCCUCUUUCUCACCCUCUCACCUUCUGCCAUGGGAUGACACAGGAAGAAGACACUCCCCAGAUGCCAGCAACUUGAUAUUGGACUUCCUGCCUUUAGAAACAUUCCUUUAAGCCUCUCUGAAACUUGACCCUCUGGCAGGAACAGGUGCCAUUACAUACAGACACUCUCUCUCUUCCAAAUUCACCCUGUCAUAUCAAAGGGAAAACUGAAGUGGUCCACUGUAGACCUGACAGAUGAUCACAAACAGGAAACCAGCAAUCAGAAGUGCCUACUGAGCUCCCUACCCUGACCAUCACCUACAGCUACAUUUUACAGAUACAAAAUCAUUGUUUGUUCAACUUUCAUAUCAAAGGAUGCUAUUAGUUCAUUUCCAAAGGUGGGAAAAUGUUUCAACUUACUUUAUUACUUGUCUGCUACUUACUAUUUUCCCUCCGUUUGCCUGCCUGACUUCUUUUAACUCUUCACUCAACAAAUAUCUACUGACUACUGAGCACUUGCCAAGUGCUAGGCCAGAGCUGGAUGCUGUACUACGGGCAGAUGAAGUGCUAUGGGCAUCCAGAGGUGGAAGAAGAGGGUAUAGCGAAAGGGGAGAAAAGGCUGCAACAAUAUUCACUGAGCCCUGUGCUCCCAGGUCAUCACAUAGACUAUGUCAUUAUUCCUCCUAACCACCCACAUGAGUAAAUAGGGGCUAUUACUGAAGAAACAGAGGCUUACAAAGGUUGAGCAACUUGCCCAAGGUCAUCUAUCACAAGACACUACAAGUCAGACUGCUGAAGAGGGAGUUUCUGCUGAGAAGCUGAAGUGGGCAGCUCAUAUUGGAUAUGAAGGCUUCAAAGGAAUCUAAAUCCUAAUGAUCCCUCUAGAGCCAACAUGCAGCACCAGUUUUCUCUUCCACAUUUGAACUGCUCAUCCACUUCCGGCUCCAAGACCUCACUCUCCAUCUAAACUAGUCCCACGCCAUCCAUAUCUUUCUCCACUAACGCCACCCAAUCACAACCCCACAGCCUCUUAGUCAUGAGUCAUUUUUUAAAAACUGCAAACCAUGUAAUGAGCCAUGGCAAUAUGCAACCCUAAACCUCAACACGUGUUUUCCACAACAAGGCCACAGGUGGCAGAAGCGAGCCUAAGGCCGUAGGACACUAAGGCAGGACUCUCUGGCUUGAGCUUUCCAAAAAGGGAGGUGAGAGAAGGUCUACCUGCGGGAAGUCAUGCUGAAGGCCUGAGGCUGAGUCAAAGAAGGAGCCCCCUGGAGGCUCUGCAGUUCCUGGACUUCAGGUAGAGGAACUCUGCCAUGAACACCUCUGGAAUCGUGUCAUUUUGGGACAAUUAGAGAAUAUCAGUUUUCAGACUGAGUUCUAUGGGAAGGUGCCUGCACAACAAAGGAGAGACGGAAUGGACUUCAGGUCUUCCAAAAUACCCCUCAUGUUCACCAAGUUGCUCUCUGCUCUAAGAUACCAGAUGAGGGGGCCAGUGGGGACUGAAACCCAGUCCCCAGUCUGCUGGCCAAUCCCUUUGCCUGUGAGGCUGCUCUGUCCUACCAGAGAGGGCACUUUUCAUAAUUUGCACCAAGUACAGAAUAGGAUAGUGUAGCUUUACCCUUCUCCCUACCAUCAACCACAGACACAUCAACACAUGCACACAUACAGCCACACAAAUAUACCUACAGGCAUACACAUACAACACAGGCACAUACAUGUUUGCACAAAGUCACAUGUAGACACAAACGCAGAGCACACAGACACAAACACAGGCACAAACCCAUACUUACACUACACACACACACAAACACACACAGACACACAAAUGCAAAUUAAGCCACAAUGUAGCACAUAGAGAUAUAGACACAGACGCAAAUACAGUCACAUAGAGAUAUAGACACACACUUAUACACACAUAUAUGUAAAUAUACAGUCUCAUUCACUUUAUACCACACAUGUAUAAACAUACACAAUUGUAUGUAGACACACAUACACAUAGGUACUCAGACCGCAUAGAUACAUAUGUACACACAUACAAAUAUAUGCACAUACACAGAUAUAUAUAUACACACAUGCAUCUUUAACCAGAACAACUUUACUUUUGUCAGUUUUAUAUGACAGAGUCUUUAAAAAAAGAUUUCAUCUGGCUUGUGUUCUACUAUUAAAAGAGAA
rnacentral:lncRNA from 10 species